UCCAACUGCAGAGAUGAAGAAGCUGAGGUCUUAAGAGGUUUAGGUAACUUGCCUUGGGCCCAACAUCCAGUAAAGAAGAGAGCCAGAUCAGACUCCAUUCUUGACUCUCAUUCUAGCACUUCCUCUCCUACCCUUCUUGUCUACAAAUUUGAGGAUUUCUUAUCAUUUAUGCAUUUAUCCAUCCAUCUAGUAGAAGAUUCUGUGUUAAACAAAGACUUCCUUACGGUGAAUACACCUGGAACUUAUUGGCUCAAGCUGGAGAGGCAAGCAAGGAUUAUGGACUUUUCUGCUAGAUGGAUGGACUUUCACAGUAACUUGGAAACAUGGCUUAAAAGGAUGGAAAUUAAGAGAUAUUCUCCAGCCUGCAAAAUAGACAUAUUUCGGCCCUUUUCCUGAAAUGCAGUUUAUUUAGUCUUAAAUAUAUAGUAACUUAAAAAGUGUUGCUUUUUCUUUUAAAUAAACAGUUGUUUGGUGAUUUUAUUUCUGACAUUAAGGAGUUGUCAUGCAUGUCUCUGUAUUUGAGAUACUUUAGAAAACUGGAUUUUGGCCCUGAAGGGUGGACCCAGAGCUCUAGUAAAACCUCUUGGUUUAGAUUCAGCUGCUUCCCAUAUGCACUAAAGGAUAAGGCUGUGUGCUAAAAAGAGUUAUGAAAUAUUUAUUGAGAAAAAAAUACAGUACAUGUGCAG